UUCCUAAAAGUUUAAACUUUGAUUUGCAAAAUCAAACAACCUAACUAAUUAAUCUU
rnacentral:tRNA from 1 species